UCUCUCAUGGCGUAGUGGUAACGCGCCCCAACUAGAGAUCGGGGAGUCGUGAGUUCGAUUCUCACUAAGAAGA
rnacentral:tRNA from 1 species